UAGAUGCGAGAGUAGAGCAUAUCAAUAAGCGGAGGAAAAGAAACUAACAAGGAUUCCCUUAGUAACGGCGAGUGAAGCGGGAAGAGCUCAAAUUUGAAAUCUUCAAGGUUCUACCUUGACGAAUUGUAAUUUAUAGAAGUGUUUUCUGUUAGUGGAGUGGCAAAAGUUCUUUGGAAUAGGACAUCAUAGAGGGUGAGAAUCCCGUAUUUGGUCAUUCCUCCUAGCGUUGUGAUACACUUUCAACGAGUCGGAUUGUUUGGGAAUGCAGUCCAAAAUGGGUGAUAAAUUUCAUCUAAAGCUAAAUAUUGGCGAGAGACCGAUAGCGAACAAGUACCGUGAGGGAAAGAUGAAAAGAACUUUGAAAAGAGAGUUAAACAGUACGUGAAAUUGUCAAAAGGGAAGCGUUUGACACCAGUGUUGUUUUUCCGAAAAUCAAUUACGAAUGUUUUAUUUUUGAGGAGUUAUGACUUCAUCGGCUUGCUCCUUUCUUUAUGAAACUUUCUUAAUGCACUUUUCGGUUAACAAGUCAACAUCAAUUUCUUUUGUUGUAAAAGGGUAUGAGGAAGGUGGCUUUCUUUUCGGAGAAAGUGUUUAUAGCCUUGUGCCUCUGCAAUCGGAGAGAUUGAGGUCUGCAGCGUAGAUCCUUCGGGGUUAGAUACGUUUGUGCUAAGUUAUAGCUUUUCAUAGACAACUUGUUGACUAUGUUUAGUCUUGUAGCUUACUCGCUUACGCUAUUUUACCUACGCUUAGGAUGUUGACGAGACUGUCGAUCUC
rnacentral:rRNA from 1 species